rnacentral:rRNA from 1 species
UAUGGAAGCUUGCUUCCACUGAGAAGAUAGUGGCGAACGGGUGAGUAACACGUGGGUAACCUGCCCAUAAGAGGGGGGAUAACGAUCCGGAAACGGGUGCUAAUACCGCAUAGUUUCUUGAUCGCAUGAUCGGGAAAGGAAAGACGGCCUUUGUGCUGUCGCUUAUGGAUGGACCCGCGGCGUAUUAGUUAGUUGGUGAGGUAACGGCUCACCAAGACGAUGAUACGUAGCCGACCUGAGAGGGUGAUCGGCCACAUUGGGACUGAGACACGGCCCAAACUCCUACGGGAGGCAGCAGUAGGGAAUCUUCCGCAAUGGACGAAAGUCUGACGGAGCAACGCCGCGUGAGUGAAGAAAGGUUUUCGGAUCGUAAAACUCUGUUGUCAGAGAAGAACAAGUUGGAGAGUAACUGCUCCAGCCUUGACGGUAUCUGACCAGAAAGCCACGGCUAACUACGUGCCAGCCGCCGC